rnacentral:rRNA from 1 species
AUUGAACGCUGGCGGCAGGCCUAACACAUGCAAGUCGAGCGGAUGAAGGGAGCUUGCUCCUGGAUUCAGCGGCGGACGGGUGAGUAAUGCCUAGGAAUCUGCCUGGUAGUGGGGAUAACGUCCGGAAACGGGCGCUAAUACCGCAUACGUCCUGAGGGAGAAAGUGGGGGAUCUUCGGACCUCACGCUAUCAGAUGAGCCUAGGUCGGAUUAGCUAGUUGGUGGGGUAAAGGCCUACCAAGGCGACGAUCCGUAACUGGUCUGAGAGGAUGAUCAGUCACACUGGAACUGAGACACGGUCCAGACUCCUACGGGAGGCAGCAGUGGGGAAUAUUGGACAAUGGGCGAAAGCCUGAUCCAGCCAUGCCGCGUGUGUGAAGAAGGUCUUCGGAUUGUAAAGCACUUUAAGUUGGGAGGAAGGGCAGUAAGUUAAUACCUUGCUGUUUUGACGUUACCAACAGAAUAAGCACCGGCUAAUUUCGUG